GUUGAGUAAUAUUAGUAAAAUAUGAGUUCAGAAAACAGCAAAACCAAAAGACAAAAUCAAGAUUAUAUUUGUCCAAGGGAAGAAGAAGAAGAGUGAAAGCAGCGGUAGAAGAAGAAUGAGGGAUACGACAAAAAUGAAAGCGCUGAGAUCUGGGUUAGUAGUAAUUGGAGCUGUAGCAUUUGGUUACCUGAAUUUGCAGCUAAUGUUCAAGCCCUUUCUUGAGAAAACACAGUCACAACAAGCUCUCCUCCACUCUGAAUCAUCCCAACAACAACAAUCCGAGUCAGACCAAAGCUUAUGACUAUUUCAUUUUAAGUUAUGGUUCAUUUUAUGUAAUGCUUUUGCUUUUUUUUCUUGAUCCCAUGUGGAAAAACUGGUUCAAUAUUUAUAAUUUUCAGCCCUGUAGCUCUUUUCUUAUAAUUCAUUGUUUAAAGGUUAUGGUGCCAACUCACUAUUAUCCAUAUUAUGUAGCUGAUCCUAAUGAUUGUUAAGUAUGUUUACGACAAAGUAGGAGUCGGAAUACAUUACAAAGGGAUUAAAAGGAUACUAGAGUAUCAAUCCUAGGGCUUGAACCUGUGACAUAAAGCAAUUUUUAACCCCUUCUCCACUACACUGAAAUCUUUCCUUUUGUCAAGGGGAUUCAAUUGUUUCCAUUUAAUAAAAAAAGUUGUUUUUGCCGUAUUGUGGAAUGUAAUUUUCCGGCCAAGUGGAUUCAAUUGAACCCCUUGACGACACCUAGCUCUAUUCUUGGUUUAUCCAGCCAAAUGGUGGAUUCAGUAUUUUAAGUCAGUGGGUGGAGUAGCAAUGUGUCUACUGCUUCUUUGUUUCAAUUGUUUUUUUUUUUCACAAUUGAUUUGGACUUAGCAUAAAUGUAUAUUCAAAAAAAAAUGUAUGCACAUCUACGGUCGAAGGCAGUGGGUGCAUCUGCACAAUGCGGCCGUCCUGGUAAAUCAUCCCAUUUUUGUGUCAAAAGCUCUUUAUUGGAUUAAAUUCUUGCUCAUAGAAGUCUGAAUUUGAAACUUAUUUUUAAGUAGAAAGGAAAAAAAUCUUGUCUUUGGAGGUGGACCAAGGCAGUUAUUUCUUGGCCAUGCUAAUAAAGGAUAGGAGGUAAAUCUUUCUCUAGCUUUUUUUUUUGUUCCAAUAUUUUGUGGUAUUUGAUAUUGUAAGUAAUGCUGCAGGUGCUGAUUGUGUGUUUGGAUGUGAGUUGGGAUAAGGAAGUCAGGGUCUUAGGAAACAUGAUUUGGCAUGGGAUAGAGAGUUGGAAAUGGGGACUCUAUCAAGCUUUGGCUAUUUGAUUAUUUCUAUACUGUAUCUAAUAGUAGCCCCAUGUUUUGGUGAGUGAUUAAAUUACUGAUUUUCUUUUCGGCGAUUUUAACCAAUUUUAUCUUCAACUCCUUUAUUCUAUUUCAAGAGCUAAGGAAUCAAUGGCACUUUGUAUUAGGUGUAAGAGGUGACAUGAAAAUGAUCAUUGAUUUCUUGAGCUGCUAAUCUGCUAUACAAAUGGUUUUGGUUACUUAAUUGUUGAUCUUCUUUUGCUAUGUUCUCAAACUGACAGAAUCUCUAACUGAAGCAGAGGAAAUUUUUGUUUCAAG
rnacentral:lncRNA from 1 species